GAGACCAGAAAGUUUUCGAAACUGCGUGAGUGGAAGUCUGCGUUGGACAAAUUUUGAAAAUAUCUGAAGGUUUAACGAAUUUUGGAGAAUUCGACAGAGCUACAGACUACGAAACCUUUCGAAACGAACACACGUGUCCUGUUGAACUUGAAAAAAGACGAAAUUAUUUUUAAAAAGAUCAUGGUAACUCGUGAAGCAACAUCUCAGAAUUGAAUCGGGGAACGAGGAAUCAAAAAAAGGUUAACAAUUUGGAUCAUUUUGGAAGAUACAUACGCCGCGCUUUUCAAAGCGGACAGACGUGCCCUUGUCCAACUGAAACGAACACACGUGUCCUGUUGAACUUGAAAAAAGACGAAAUUAUUUUAAAAAGAUCAUGGUAACUCGUGAAGCAACAUCUCAGAAUUGAAUCGGGGAGUUGUGUAUUUGCUGGCAAUCCGGGCCUGCUUGGAUCAUUUUGGAAGAUACAUACGCCUGCGCUUUUCAAAGCGGACAGACGUGCCCGUGUCCCACUUGACAAAGGCGGAAUUAUUUUAGGAAAGACCAUGGCAACUAGUAAAGCAGAAUCCGAGAAUUCAAUCGGCGGCUGUAUGUUGACUGACAAGAAUAUAAUUGCUGUUAAUCCGGCCCUGCUUCUUGUACAAAUGCAUAGUGGGGAGACAUGAACAUUUUUCGAAAUUGCGGCCCUAUCCUCUUGGGAUUCUACGUUGGACAAAUUCUGAAAACGACCCAGAAAUAUAAUUGGAGGUUCAAACCCGUGCGAGGUGAGGUUUGAUAUAUGAAACAGACCAGUCAUGGGGACACGAGAUAUGGAAAGUUUCAGCGUAGUCGUCGCCACAUUGCUGCCAACACUGCAUAUAUAAGGAAUCACGAACCAUUCAGGUAAAAUUUUGAAAACACAUAGUUAUGGCAAUAUAGAACCUCUCUUUUUUUAACAGGAAUAUUGAGACUUAGACCAGUAUCUUUUAAGUAGGCAUGUGGGGUAAAGAAGACGCAGAAGCUUCAGUCGGGUACCAUCGGUAACGUAGGCGAUUGAUAUAUUUCCACCACUACCUAUGUUGGAUUGGAAUUUCCCAUUUGAUGCUUUGACUGACUAAAUGAGGAAACUUGGAGAUAUUAUUGGUGGUGCCUGCCAGCUUCCAGUUCCGAGAAAAGAAAUCCAACACUUUUCGUCUUUAUUUCCCCUGUCCUUUGUGCGCAAUAAAAGUACAGUUU